rnacentral:ncRNA from 1 species
GUCAUCGCGAGGUGGGGUCUGAAGACAGCGUGGAGCAAAGCCGCGGCCCGAUGAACAAACAGCGGAUACGAGGCCUACCCGCCCGGACGAGCGAGCCGCCAACCGCGAAGUCCACGGUCAUCAAGGGGCGGGGUGGUAAAUCCGACGGGCAUGCGGUGAAGGCGGUCGGU